rnacentral:tRNA from 9 species
GGCGGAGUAGCUCAGUCGGUUAGAGCAGCGGAAUCAUAAUCCGCGUGUCGGGGGUUCGAAUCCCUCCUCCGCUA